AGAAUAAAAAUCUGUUCUCUUUUCAGUUCAUGGCAGAAUUCCCCUUGAUUUCAGUAGGACCAAAAUCACUAGACUCAUACAGCUGUAGCUUCCAGGAAAAUGUCACUAAACUACUCUUCAGCCUCAUUACAAAAUGGCCUCAUUUGUGAAUCAAUGCCUAAGUCCUGCAUAUUAGCCAGGGGCAUGACUCUCACUCUCCACAUUUCUGCAAAAUCCCAUGUCAAGUCCUUGAAGAGACCGUAAGUCCCGAAGAUGAUCAGUGCUGAUGAGUCAUGAUUGCCAGAAAUGUCCUCUACUAAUCCAUUUUCCUACACUCCUCAUUGGGUUUAUCUGAGUACUCAAGUGACAAUGCCUCACCUACACACUGAACAAGAAGAGAAGCAAAAGGUUUCAGGAACUCCACAGGGACAUGUUCAGGCAGAAGAGCAAAUGCUAGUAAAAAAAUAUCCUCUGGGAUCUCUCUGAGAGAUGGAAAUGGAGCCACUGAAAGCCGGCCAUACGAACUGCCGCAGGGUUUGCAACUGCAUCAACAGUCAUGAAACCGAAAACGGCUAGCCAACAGAUCUAACUGUAUUAGUCUAAGCACCUUCUCUGUUUUCAUUACCUGGAUCAUCUGCUAUAGGAACCACAUCUUGCAUUCAUACACUUAGGUAUAAACCCAGACUGACAAGAAUCAGGAAGAUCUGAAAUAUCUAGACAACAUGAACAUUUUCUAUGGGAUACUGUGGAAGAGUUAGCUGGCUUGCCUUGUGUCUAGCCUUGGCUGCUUGAUAAGAGACAGGAAGGCAGCUUUGUCAGAUGUUGGCAUGCCUCUAUAUUGCUAAUUAUAAGGACAUUACAUACUCCAAACUCUUUUCUUUCAACAACAUGCUAAUGUUAGAAAACUAUACUAUCUAGCUGUGUCUGGCAUGCUAUCACCUGAUUAUCAAUGUGUCAAAUGUCGGUAAUAAAACUCAGUUACUAAGCA
rnacentral:lncRNA from 1 species